GCAGGUGUGGUGCAAUGGCUAGCAUAGGAGUUUCGUAAUCUUCUGAUGCGAGUUCAAAUCUCGCCGCCUGCUUCA
rnacentral:tRNA from 3 species